CACGUAGUUAGUCGUGGCUUUCUUGAAAAGUACCGUCAAGUAGAACUCAUUUCCUAAUUCUACCAUUCUUUCUUAACAACAGAGUUUUACAACCCAUAGGGCCUUCAUCACUCACGCGGCAUUGCUCGUUCAGGGUUUCUCCCAUUGACGAAUAUUCCUAACUGCUGUCUCCCGUAGGAGUCUGGGCCGUGUCUCAGUCCCAGUGUGGCCGAUUAACCUCUCAGUUCGGCUACGCAUCGCCGUCUUGGUAGGCCAUUACCCCACCAACUAACUAAUACGCCGCAGGCCCAUCUCUAAGCGAAGCUUUAAGGGCUUCUUUACUCCGUAGAGCACAUUCGGUAUUAUCAACCGUUUCCAGUUGUUAUCCCCAACUUAGAGGCAGGUAACCCACGUGUUACUCACCCGUUUGCCACUAGGUGGAAAAUCCAAAUCCAUCUUGUGCAAGCACUCAGACUUCAAUGGGCCACCUCGUUCGACUUGCAUGUCUUAGGCAUGCCGCCAGCGUUUCAU
rnacentral:rRNA from 1 species